CCGUAAUGUCAGUAAAGGUCACGAAAUGUGGGCAAGGGCGGGUCUCCUCACAAAACCGGGGGGCGGCGGGCGAGCGAGCGCGGGGUCCUGCCACCUUGUGCAGCCGAGACAUUAGGAAGGAUUCGGGGCGAUUCGGAGGAAUUUCUUCUUUGAAAGCGUGAUUAGGCACAGAAAUGCCUCAUUAAAGGCAUCCAGGGGGCAGCUGGAGUCACCGUCCCUGGGGGUGUUCGGGGAAAGACUGGACAUGGCACUCAGUGCCGUGGUCCAGCUGACGUGGUGGUGUCGGGUCAUGGGUUGGGCUCGAUGAUAUCAGAGCUCUUUUCCAACCUCACUGAUUCUGUGACUCGGGUUUGAGUGUUUAAUGUGCUGCUACGUGAGAUCUGCUCCGUGUGAGCGCGUUCCCGGCUUUUUAAAUGCAUAAAAUAAGUGUUGAAACGGUUUCCUUUUAACGUCACAGGCAUCCAACCCUUGGGAAAUACACAGCAAAGUUAAGAUUUAACUUAAUGUUGCAGAGUCCUCCCAUCGUAUCACACCUGCUGAUCUCUCCAGCCACCCUGCCGUUCUCCUGCCGCCGGCUCCAGGCCGUUCCGAGGACGGGCGCCGGUUCUGUGGAGCGCCCCACCCGUGUGAGGCACCCGCGCCGCUGUGCUGGCUCCACCGCUGCUGCCCUCUGCUCCCCCGCGCUGUGCUGACACCCGCACGGCCCUGCGGGUGGGCACGGAACAGAUACAGCCGAUGGGCUGUGCGCUCCUCCCCUGUUCCUCACCAAAAAAAAAACAACGGGAAAGUAAAUCCUGUUUACCUGCUGGCAUUACAAGUGCUUGUGUCUGCCGAGUCCUGCGGGUUGCACAAAGCUCAAGUGCAGCACAAUUUGAUGAUUAGUGUUUGAGGUAUAAUUUCCAGCGAAAAUGUGCCUUUCAAGCUACACCCUCACCUUCAUCAGAGAGGACUGAAAGUGACACUUGUUUCCAAAAUACGGCUUCAUCUGGAUCCCCACUGUACUGUUCAGCUUCUUCCUUGGCUUCCCCCUGUUCCAUUAAUAAGGACAUUCGAGGCUAAUGUGAUUUCUUCCUCACCUUGUCUGUAAUACAGAGUAGGGAGAGAGGUAGUGAUCUCUCAUCUCAUGAAGAUGCUGUGAAGAAGCCUAACUUUUCAUGUAUUUGGUUAGUUCUUGCUCAGAAAAACAAACCCAGGCUUGAUAUCAGCUUGCUGGAGGACUAGAAAUUAACCAAACUUUCUUCAGCUUCAAGUGCUGGUGACCGUGCAGGGCUGCUGCCCUGCAGGUUCCUUGACAUACGUGCUUUGCUUUUAGAUAGGCUGGGAUGUAUAAAAGAAGCAAAAUAAUGCUACUGAUCUUCGCAUCUAAGAAAAAAGUCUGAAAAUAUUAUCACUUUUGCAAUCAUGAAACCCAUCCAGGAGUAGCCGGAUAGCGCUGUUUCCAGUGUCCUGUGGGAUAAAGCAGUUCUUGCUGUCAUGCAAGGGCAAGUCUCUACAGGAGCCUCUUGUGGAAUCUUUCUUGGCAUGUAACUUGUUGGAAAUUUGACUUUUGCAAGUCAGUUCUACACUACUAAGCAGAUUCUGGCUUCCUUCAUGAGGCAACAACAGCAGCAACAGCAGCUGACCUCCAGGAAAAUAAAGGGCAAAGUGCAAAUAUUGAUCAGUUGGCUCAAAAGGCAUUUUUCCUAAGGUGUCUUUAGUCUGUAGCACUUCACUGCUUGGAAAGCAAGUACUUGCUGGCAGUCUGCAGCAGACUUGAUGGAGAUGUUGUUCUGCAGGCUGGGAGUGGCUCUGCAGCUAAAGAAAAUGUUAUCCUGAAGGACAGUGUGUGAUUUUCCCCAGGGUUUCCAAGGUGCUGCAACACCCCCAGAGGUCCCAGGACACUUCUGAAUAGUGUAGCCAUCUGUCUGGAAGCUUGCAACCUGCAUUUUUAUCAGUCAGUCUGCUCAUUCCUGGAGACAUUACUGAUGGAUUCAUGUACAUGGAUGGUGUUCAUGCACACACCAGUUACAUCUGUGAGGCUCAUGAAGCACACAUAGGACUGUUCCCCUGCCCAACUCAGGUUUAUAGCAAGGCCAAGUGGCACCUGGGUUGGGAUAACUGGCUCAUGGGAGGAUGCUGAAGCUUUCAGAAUUUCCUGCAGUGCAUGGCAAAACAAGGAUUCACCUUCUUCUUUUAAUACUUUUCACAUUCUCUAAACGAGGUUCAUCAAAAGAAUGAAGGGUACUGGCAUCUGUAUGUAAGACAGGAAGCUUCUGCUGCUGUUACAAAUGUCUGCCAUUGGGUUGAAAGCAGAGGGGAACAUCCAGGACUCCCCUCAGCUCGCUGUCUGCAUCCAGAUGAAAGCAAUCCACACCUCAUUCCAAGAGCCAGAAAUUUGCUGCAUGAUUUUUUUCUUCCUCCUGUGCCACCAUAGCUCUAUCUCAGCAGGCAGCCAGGGUGGCUGCCAAGGAACAGCUUGUGGCCACGUCGCUUCAGGCUCAUUUCCUCCGUGGGAGGAUCUGUGCCGUGACACGCUUCCCCAGGUCUCCUGGGUGGCACCAUAUGGUGGCCCCUUAAAUUGUAAUCUCUGUUCUUCAUGUUCAUUUAAUUCAAAAUGCUUGAAGUAAACUGAGGCCAUGUACCAGCCCUUCUGAGUGGCUUCUGAGUGGCAGUGCAGGAGGACCCUGCUGCGUGCUCAGCGGCGUGAGAAUCUCGGCGGUGGAUGGUGAGCUGGCUCCAUUCAUUUUGGAGGACAGGCUGGGGAGGACAGUGGCACAGUCUUAUCUGUGCUGGUCACACAGCAGCCUCCAGGUCCCUGCCCUGACUUCUUCCUUGUGGGAAGAAGUCAAUUAACUCCGAGUGAGAGCACAAAAGUGGAUGAACAUAUUCAGAUGUGAAUGACAGGGGACCAGAUCCUGGGACUGGGCUGAAGAAUUAAGUUAUCAAACAGAACAGAUGUAGUCUUAGCUCCGUUUUCAUAUUUAACACCUAAAUCACCAGCUUCACUCCAGAUGUAUCCUCCCAUUCUAAAUAUAAAUAAAUAUGCUAUACUCUGUUUUAAACUGCUUAGCAGGAACAGUCUUUUCUCUCAUGUAUGUCAUUAUUCUUUGUUUCAUGUUUCCACUUGUUUAUCUUCUUCUAUUUUUCUUCCUAUCCUCCCCACUCUCUUCAAUUUUUUUUAUCCAAACAUUUCUUUUAUCAGAAUUCCUCUCUUCCUUUUCUCUUGUCCACAUUGCUUCUCUGCAUUUCUCACUGAAAAUGUCUCUAUUUUGGUCUAUGUCUCCCAUCCCUUCUGACUAAUUCCCAUUCAGGUCUACAUGUUCUAGUAGUUCUGGCUUUAGACAGCAACACAGAUUGGGGAAUUAUAAUGCUUAAUUGUACUGUCAAAAUCCUUCAGAUGAUUUGUUUCCUUUGGAGUCACUAGAGUUUGGAAGAGAGGCAGUUUUCUAGGAUCUUCCAGAUGUUUUGCUUCUAGUAGUGAUAGAAAAUUUGAUUAAGAAAGUAUAACUUCUGUUCCUUAUUCUGAUUUCUUUUCUUCAUUAUUAUUUGGGAAACCAACAUCUUGAAGGAGAAAGGUGAAAAUGAAAUUCUAAUGUCAUUUUUCAUGCUUGUAUUUUUUAUCCUUUUAUGCCUCUUUGCUUCUCAUUAUGUUAACUUGGGUUUUUAGUCCCAGGAACAAUUAGUAUUACAAUGUACAGAGCAGCACUGCUGUAGAAAAGGUUCUUCCCAUUUAUAUACUUAAUUCUAUGGGAAAAGAGAUGUUACUUUACUCUUCUGUGUAAGCCCAGCUACUGUAGAGUUAUUUGAAUGUAACAUUGAUUGGCUUGAAAACUGUGAGUAAAAGAAACCAGACAUAUUUUCUGUUGUUGCUCGAUCUCACUGGAAAGUUGUGUUCAAGGCUCAGUUCAGUCCUUGUCUGCAUUUUGACAUUUCAUGUAUGUCUUUCAGUAUAUACAAAUAUAUAGUUUUAUUCAAAAUUGAGAUCUUGGGCUUUUUUUUUGUUUAGAAGGCACAGGCAAAUGCUUUAAACAAACAUUUGUGAAACCCGAGUUCAUGGAAAGCUUUGUAAAGAAACCAAAUGUUUCUACUUAAUGUUUUUUACACAGGCAUCCUUCUUCUGCUGUGUUGUAUUUCCCAGCACCUUAGAGAUAACAUUUCUGUUGAUAAAACUCUAUGUAGCACCUUUCUUUUUCACAGUGACAGAAUAUUUUUGAACAGCACUCACUUGUGAGCCUGUGAGAAAAAAUUCUGUCCUGAAGUUUUUUUUCCAGCUCCAUUGCUCACUGCCUGCCUUUUCUGUGCUGGGUUCUGCUCUCUGCUACCAGCUAUGAACCACUGAUUUACAUCCUGGCUUUCAGACUGCUUUUCCAGUUUUACAAAUAACUGAGUUCUGAUUCUCUGCCCCUCUCAGGUUUGUGUCUCCCCCGAAAUAAAUGGGAGAUUCUGUGCUUCCUUAUAUAUCCUAAUAAUGCAAUUGAAUAAACAGGCACAAUUUGUCAGAAUUGCGUUACCGGCAGAAUCCCAGAUUAACAAUUCUUUGAUUGUGGGCUUUUCGGUGCUUUAGAAAGGAGAGCUGUGCAGCAGAAUUGCCGUGCGGCGGCAGUGCAGCCCAGGGAUGGAAGUGCAUCUGUCCUGGAGUGGGAGCGCCUCUGCGCCUUCCCUGCGGUCAGUAGCGAACCAUUUCAGCAGUGGGGCACUGGAGGCUGCCUCGUUACUUGGGAAAGCCGUGUUAGGAUUACAUUAAGGGAACAAACUGAAAAUAAACUGGUUACACUAGAAUGGGCGUGACCACUUGGUAUUGCUUC